rnacentral:rRNA from 1 species
GACGAACGCUGGCGGCGUGCUUAACACAUGCAAGUCGAACGAUGAACCCGGAGCUUGCUCUGGGGGAUUAGUGGCGAACGGGUGAGUAACACGUGAGUAACCUGCCCUGGACUCUGGGAUAAGCGUUGGAAACGACGUCUAAUACCGGAUAGGACCUUGGAUCGCAUGAUCUGGGGUGGAAAGUUUUUUCGGUCUGGGAUGGACUCGCGGCCCAUCAGCUUGUUGGUGAGGUAAUGGCUCACCAAGGCGUCGACGGGUAGCCGGCCUGAGAGGGUGACCGGCCACACUGGGACUGAGACACGGCCCAGACUCCUACGGGAGGCAGCAGUGGGGAAUAUUGCACAAUGGGCGAAAGCCUGAUGCAGCAACGCCGCGUGCGGGAUGACGGCCUUCGGGUUGUAAACCGCUUUUAGUAGGGAAGAAGGGCUUCGGCUUGACGGUACCUGCAGAAAAAGGACCGGCUAACUACGUG